AUUGAACGCUGGCGGCAGGCCUAACACAUGCAAGUCGAACGAGUGGCGGACGGGUGAGUAGUUUCUGGGAACCUGCCUGAUGGACGGGGCUAACUACUGGAAACGGUAGCUAAUACCGCAUACCCUCUGCAGUGCCCAGAUGGGAUUAGCUUGUUGGUGGGGUAACGGCUCACCAAGGCGACGACCCCUAGCUGGUCUGAGAGGAUGACCAGCCACACUGGAACUGAGACACGGUCCAGACUCCUACGGGAGGCAGCAGUGGGGAAUAUUGGACAAUGGGCGAAAGCCUGAUGCAGCCAUGCAGCGUGGAGGAAGAAGGCCUUCGGGUUGUAAAGUACUUUCGGCGGGGAGGCGUUACCCGCAGAAGAAGCACCGGCUAACUCCGUGCCAGCAGCCGCGGUAAUAC
rnacentral:rRNA from 1 species